rnacentral:rRNA from 1 species
AGGUGCAUGGCCGUCGUCAGUUCGUACUGUGAAGCAUCCUGUUAAGUCAGGCAACGAGCGAGACCCACGCCAACAGUUGCCAGCAUGUCCUCCGGGAUGAUGGGGACACUGUUGGGACCGCCUCUGCUAAAGAGGAGGAAGGGAAUGGGCAACGGUAGGUCAGCAUGCCCCGAAUUAUCCGGGCUACACGCGGGCUACAAUGGUCAGGACAAUGGGUAUCGACACCGAGAGGUGGAGGCAAUCUCCUAAACCUGUCCUUAGUUCGGAUUGUGGGCUGCAACUCGCCCACAUGAAGCUGGAAUCCGUAGUAAUCGCGUUUCAAAAUAGCGCGGUGAAUAUGUCCCUGCCGUCCUU